GACGGUCCUGGCUGGCUCCUUUAAUCUGAGAGAAAGGCGAAGGAAUCCUUGGCACCUUCUCCAGAACGCAUUCCAGUGCACGGAGCUCACAGGACCAGCAGACGGAAGAAAAGGAUGAAUUGCUUCCUCGACUUUCUGCUUUCCAUAGCUAAAAGCUGCUCACCUCCUCCAAAAGGUCCCCAUAUGACUCGGCGGAUGGACUUCACCCAGUCUUCCAUGUCAUUCUGGGUGCUCGCCAUGAGGAGAUAGCUCUCAUGAUUGGCUGUCAUCCGAUCUCGUUCCCCUCCUGCAAAAACAUAAGGACAUUCAGUGGACAGUCCAACCGGUGAUCAAAGAUUCCUCAUCUUCCCCUCCAAGGAAGUCCCAGAAUCAAGGGCGGGGCCUCGCGCGGUCAGCCCUGCGUCCCACCGAAUGAACUGGAAAUAUUUACCUCAGCUUCUGGGGGACCUGGAGUGGGGAUUGCUGCUUUAAAAGGAAAGGCUCUUGUGUUUCCAGGAGAAGGCUAGAGACCAAAUACCAUUCCCUAAACAAUGCCUGGGGUUUUCUGUCCUAGCAACAACCCACAGGCCAGUGGUCACCGUAAUCCCGUCCAUUCACAGAGCUGCUGAAUAGGGAGAAACAGUAGAGACAAAGCAAAUGGAGGAGAUGAUGGCGGAGUGGUCC
rnacentral:lncRNA from 14 species